rnacentral:rRNA from 1 species
ACGGGUGAGUAAUACUUAUCUUACUUGCCAUUUAGUGGGGGAUAAAAUACCGCAUAUUCUGGUUUCGACCAGGAAAGGACUUCGGUUCGCUGAAUGAUGGGGAUAAGGCGUAUUAGCUUGUUGGUGGGGUAAAGGCCUACCAAGGCAAAGAUGCGUAGCCAAACUGAGAGGUUGAAUGGCCACAGGGAAACUGAGACACGGUUCCCACUCCUACGGGAGGCAGCAAUGAGGAAUCGUCGGCAAUGGGGGAAACCCUGACCGCGCGAUGCUACGUGAAGGAUGAAGGUCUACGGAUUGUAAACUUCUUUACUUGGAUGUACUCCUUAAAGCUUGCAUCUGAGCAAAAAGUCACGACUAACUAUGUGCCAGCAGUCGCGGUAAGACAUAGGUGGCGAACGUUAUCCGGAAUUAUUGGGCGUAAAGGAUGCGUAGAUGGUAGAAUAAGUUAUUGGUCGAUGCCAAACUCAAUUUGGUGGAAGCUGAUAAUACUGUUCGGCUAGAGGACAGGAGAGGUUGAUGGAAUUCUGUGUGGAGCGGUGAAAUGCGUUGAUCUACAGAGGAACACCAAAAAAGGCGAAGGCAGUCAACUAUUCUGUUCCUGACAUUGAGGCAUGAAAGCGUGGGGAGCAAACCGGAUUAGAUACCCGGGUAGUCCACGCCCUAAACGAUGAGCAUUAGAUAUUGGGCAUUUUGCUUAGUGUCGCAGCUAACGCUUUAAAUGCUCCGCCUGGGUACUACGGCCGCAAGGCUAAAACUCAAAGGAAUUGACGGGGACUCGCACAAGCAGUGGAGCAUGUGGUUUAAUCCGAUACAACGCGUAGAACCUUACCAAGGCUUGACAUGUUCGGCAAAGUUAUUGAAAGGUAAUGGAGGUUAUCCGGACACAGGUGCUGCAUGGCCGUCGUCAGUUCGUGCCGUGAGGUGUAUGGUUAAGUCCUAUAACGAACGUAACCCUUAGGUUUAGUUGCCAGCAUUCAGUUGGGGACUCUAGACCGACUGCCCGAGUAAUCGGGAGGAAGGAAAGGAUGACGUCUGGUCGUC